UACGGAGGGAGCUAGCGUUGUUCGGAAUUACUGGGCGUAAAGCGCACGUAGGCGGCUUUUUAAGUCAGGGGUGAAAUCCCGGGGCUCAACCUCGGAACUGCCCUUGAAACUGGGAAGCUAGAAUCUUGGAGAGGCGAGUGGAAUUCCGAGUGUAGAGGUGAAAUUCGUAGAUAUUCGGAAGAACACCAGUGGCGAAGGCGACUCGCUGGACAAGUAUUGACGCUGACGUGAGAACGCGUGGGGAGCAAACAGG
rnacentral:rRNA from 1 species